UACGUAGGGGGCAAGCGUUGUCCGGAUUCAUUGGGCGUAAAGAGCUCGUAGGCGGUUCGGCAAGUCGGGUGUGAAAACUCCAGGCUCAACCUGGAGACGCCACCCGAUACUGCUGUGACUUGAGUCCGGUAGGGGACCACGGAAUUCCUGGUGUAGCGGUGAAAUGCGCAGAUAUCAGGAAGAACACCAAUGGCGAAAGCAGCUCUCUGGGACGGUACUGACGCUGAGACGCGAAAGCGUGGGGAGCGAACAGG
rnacentral:rRNA from 1 species